rnacentral:rRNA from 1 species
CCCAAGUAGCACGGGGCCCGAGAAAUCCCGUGUGAAUCUGGCGGGACCACCCGCUAAGCCUAAAUAUUCCCUGGUGACCGAUAGCGGAUAGUACCGUGAGGGACUGGUGAAAAGUACCGCGGGAGCGGAGUGAAAUAGUACCUGAAACCGUGUGCCUACAAGCCGUGGGAGCGUCGCACAGGGGACUUGUUCCUUGUGUCGUGACUGCGUGCCUUUUGAAGAAUGAGCCUG